GGCGUGUCAGGUCCUGCCGACUGCAGCCUAACUUACUGCACCUGUUCUGGAGCCUCACACUCCCUGACUGACUCACACACAGAAACCGGAGUUCUGGUGGCACCUGCAGCGUGGCCCCAACUCAGCUGGGACGAGGCUUGGACACAUCCAAAACCAACGCCACCACCAGCACCUCCCUCCCUCCCUUCACACCUCUGCCCCACUACCCAGACACUAACCCCAAACUCUAGGACACUGGCUCCUCUUCUCCACUUCUACUCACCCUGCUGUCCCAGCUAGGAAGAAACCCAUGUAUCAACAAACAGCUGGAACAAGCCCUUGCAGCGCUCUCCAUUCUCUCCGCUCGUCUCCACACCAUUCUUCCAUGUAUUGGCAGUGACAGCUCACCC
ensembl:lncRNA